rnacentral:rRNA from 1 species
UAACCGACUCUCGGCAACGGAUAUCUCGGCUCUCGCAUCGAUGAAGAACGUAGCGAACUGCGAUACUUGGUGUGAAUUGCAGAAUCCCGUGAACCAUCGAGUCUUUGAACGCAAGUUGCGCCCGAAGCCGAAUUCGUUCGGACGAGGGCACGUUUGCCUGGGUGUCA